rnacentral:rRNA from 1 species
GGGCUCGCAGGCGGUUUCUUAAGUCUGAUGUGAAAGCCCCCGGCUCAACCGGGGAGGGUCAUUGGAAACUGGGAAACUUGAGUGCAGAAGAGGAGAGUGGAAUUCCACGUGUAGCGGUGAAAUGCGUAGAGAUGUGGAGGAACACCGGUGCCGAAGGCGACUCUCUGUUCUGGAACUGACCCUGAGCUACGAGGUCAUGGACCGCUAUCCCGAUGCGAUGACGCGGAAGUCGACUCCGAGGGUGAUCGGCGCAUACUGGUACUGAGACACGCCCCACACUCCUACGGGAGGCAGCAGUAGGGAAUCUUCCGUGAUGGACGAAAGUCUGACGGAGCAACUCCACGUGAGUGAUGAAGGUUUUCGGAUCAUACAGCUCUGUUGUUACGGAAGAACAAGUGCAAGAGUAACUGCUUGCACCUUGA